GAUGAACGCUGGCGGCGUGCCUAAUACAUGCAAGUCGAGCGUACAGACGAGGAGCUUGCUCCUCUGACGUUAGCGGCGGACGGGUGAGUAACACGUGGAUAACCUACCUAUAAGACUGGGAUAACUUCGGGAAACCGGAGCUAAUACCGGAUAAUAUAUUGAACCGCAUGGUUCAAUAGUGAAAGACGGUUUUGCUGUCACUUAUAGAUGGAUCCGCGCCGCAUUAGCUAGUUGGUAAGGUAACGGCUUACCAAGGCAACGAUGCGUAGCCGACCUGAGAGGGUGAUCGGCCACACUGGAACUGAGACACGGUCCAGACUCCUACGGGAGGCAGCAGUAGGGAAUCUUCCGCAAUGGGCGAAAGCCUGACGGAGCAGCGCCGCGUGAGUGAUGAAGGUCUUCGGAUCGUAAAACUCUGUUAUUAGGGAAGAACAAAUGUGUAAGUAACUAUGCACGUCUUGACGGUACCUAACCAGAAAGCCACGGCUAACUACGUG
rnacentral:rRNA from 1 species